rnacentral:rRNA from 1 species
ACGACUACAUAUCAGGCAUAUCAAUAAGCGGAGGAAAAGAAACUAACAAGGAUUCCCUUAGUAACGGCGAGUGAAGCGGGAAGAGCUCAAAUUUGAAAUCUUCAAGGGUUUACCUUUACGAAUUGUAGUUUAAAGAAGUGUUUUCUGUUGGAGUUUCGGUAAAAGUUCUUUGGAAUAGGACAUCAUAGAGGGUGAGAAUCCCGUAUUUGACCGUUACUUUUCAGCUGUGUGAUACACUUUCAAAGAGUCGGAUUGUUUGGGAAUGCAGUCCAAGAUGGGUGGUAAAUUUCAUCUAAAGCUAAAUAUUGGCGAGAGACCGAUAGCGAACAAGUACCGUGAGGGAAAGAUGAAAAGAACUUUGAAAAGGAGAGUUAAACAGUACGUGAAAUUGUCAAAAGGGAAGCGUUUGACACCAGUGUUGUUUUCUCGAAAAUCAAUUAAAAAUAGAUUUGAUUUUGUGUUGUAUUGACCUUAAAAGCUUUCUUCACUCUUUUCAUGUUUAUUUUUAAUGCACUUUUCGUUUAACAAGUCAACAUCAGUUUCUUUUGUUGUAAAAAGGUCAUUGGAAGGUGGCUUUCUUUUCGGAGAAAGUGUUUAUAGCCUUUGACUCCUGCAAUCGGAGAGACUGAGGUCUGCAGCGUAGAUCCUUCUUGGAUUAGAUUCAUUUGUGCUAAGUUAUAGCUUUUCAUAGACAACUUGUUGACUAUGUUUAGUCUUGUAGCUUACUCGCUUAUGUAAUUUUACCUACGCUUAGGAUGUUGAACGCGCACAGAGUCUC